UCCUGGGCGUGCAAGGCGAGGACAUAACCACUGUGCCAUCGCGCCGGGCCCUGCAGAUUUUUAAAUAAACUUUUAUAUACCCAUAGUGUUUUCUAGGUGCCUAUGCUGAAUGUCAAAGUCCCUACCUUCAAAGAUUUCAGUUUUGGUAAGGGAAUAUUUACCACCAUUUACUAAUGACUCUUAGGUGCCAGUUGUCAUAUUCUUUCUGAAUUGUCUGAUUAAAUUGUUGCAGCAAUAAUGUAAGAUGAAUUGCUACCCAUGUUACAGUGAAGAAUCUGAAGCAUAGAAAUCGAAUUACAAACUCCAAGACAGUUAAAAAGAGAAGGAGGCCAUGGAUGUGGGAGGGGUGUCCAGUAGCAUGUCAGGUUCAAAAAAAUGGUGACACUGCCAACACUGACCUGACAGAGUGUGGAGCCCCUGGCUACGGAGAGCACAAGCUGGAGUGCUGGAUGGGUCAGGGAGCUGGAGCUCGUCCCGGUCCUGCCUGCCUGACUCACCGACUCCUGCCUCCAUGGGCAUCUGCACGUGCAGAUGGGCGGAAGGAAGAGCCCUGAUAAUGAUAAGGCGGCAGGGUGAAGAUGGAAAGCAAAAUGGUUCAAAGGUCAGGCUGAAAAUGAUGCCGAGGUUGGGAAGCCAAGGUCAUGUGAAGCGGGGCGGCGAUGCUCCCCCAGGAGGAGCUAACAGCAAGAUGACUGGUGAGUCGACCCUGAAAGCUCUCGGGCUUUGGAAGGCAGAGCACUGCAGACAGCCGGUAUGUGUUCACAGAUGUCUCUCCCACAGGCAAGGCCUUCAUCGUGAGCCACCCUCCUCCCCUGAUCUGCCAUGUCAGCUUUUCCCCUGUGAACCGGAGCAGAUUAGACAUCUUACCU